rnacentral:rRNA from 1 species
ACGCUCGACACCUACGGAGGCAGCAGUGGGGAAUAUUGCACAAUGGGGGAAACCCUGAUGCAGCGACGCCGCGUGAGCGAAGAAGUAUUUCGGUAUGUAAAGCUCUAUCAGCAGGGAAGAAAGUGACGGUACCUGACUAAGAAGCACCGGCUAAAUACGUGCCAGCAGCCGCGGUAAUCUGAGCGGGCUGGCAAGGC